UGAAUACGAGAUGCUACGGCAUCGAAGCAGUCUAUGUCAUACUUCCAAGAAAAGCUUGCACUGUCAUAAACAAAUAAUGCCUGUACCAUAACCGACACAGGUGGGUAGGUAGAGUAUACUAAGGGGCGCGAGAUAACUCUCUCUAAGGAACUCGGCAAAAUGACUCCGUAACUUCGGGAGAAGGAGUGCCUUAUUUUAUAAGGUUGCAAUAACAAGAUCCAAGCAACUGUUUACCAAAAACACAGGUCUCCGCUAAGUCGUAAGACGAUGUAUGGGGGCUGACGCCUGCCCAGUGCCAGAAGGUUAAAGAAGUUGGUUAGCAUUAGCGAAGCUGAUAACUGAAGCCCUGGUGAACGGCGGCCGUAACAAUAACGGUCCUAAGGUAGCGAAAUUCCUUGUCGGGUAAGUUCCGACCCGCACGAAAGGCGUAAUGAUUUGGAUACUGUCUCGGAGAGGGGCUCGGUGAAAUAGACUUGUCUGUGAAGAUGCGGACUACCUGCACCAGGACAGAAAGACCCUAUGAAGCUUUACUGUAACUUGAGAUUGAAAUUGGACUUUAUUUGCGCAGUAUAGGUGGGAGACGUUGAAAAUAUUCUUGCGGGAAUAUUGGAGUCAUCAGUGAGAUACCACUCUUAUAAUGUUAGAUUUCUAACUUUGUAUCAUUAUCUGGUCAAAGAACAGUCUCAGGCGGGCAGUUUGACUGGGGCGGUCGCCUCCCAAACGGUAACGGAGGCGCACAAAGGUUUCCUCUGAACGUGUAGAAAUCGUAUCUAGAGUGUAAAGGCAUAAGGAAGCUUGACUGUGAGACCUACAAGUCGAGCAGGGACGAAAGUCGGUCUUAGUGAUCUGACGGUGCUGAGUGGAAAGGCCGUCACUCAACGGAUAAAAGUUACUCUAAGGAUAACAGGCUGAUCUCCCCCAAGAGUUCACAUCGACGGGGAGGUUUGGCACCUCGAUGUCGGCUCAUCGCAUCCUGGGGCGGUAGUACGUCCCAAGGGUUGGGCUGUUCGCCCAUGAAAGCGGUACGCGAGCUGGGUUCAGAACGUCGUGAGACAGUUCGGUCCAUAUCCGGUGUAGGCGUUAGAAUAUUGAGAGGAGCCUUCUUUAGUACGAGAGGACCGAGAAGGACAUACCUCUGGUGUACCAGUUAUCGUGCCAACGGUAAACGCUGGGUAGCUAUGUAUGGAGAGGAUAACCGCUGAAAGCAUCUAAGUGGGAAGCCCACCUCAAGAUAAGUAUUCAC
rnacentral:rRNA from 1 species